UGAGCUCAAAUUUGAAAUCUGGCGGUCUACGGCCGUCCGAGUUGUAGUCUAGAGAAGUGUUUUCCGUGCUGGACCGUGUACAAGUCCCUUGGAAUAGGGCGUCGUAGAGGGUGAGAAUCCCGUCUCUGACACGGACUACCAGUGCUCUGUGAUGCACUCUCGAAGAGUCGAGUUGUUUGGGAAUGCAGCUCAAAAUGGGUGGUAAAUUCCAUCUAAAGCUAAAUAUUGGUGGAAGACCGAUAGCGAA
rnacentral:rRNA from 1 species